rnacentral:rRNA from 1 species
UACAGAGGUCUCAAGCGUUGUUCGGAUUCAUUGGGCGUAAAGGGUGCGUAGGUGGCGUCGUAAGUCAGGUGUGAAAUUUCGGAGCUUAACUCCGAAACUGCAUUUGAUACUGCGGUGCUUGAGGACUGGAGAGGAGACUGGAAUUUACGGUGUAUCAGUGAAAUGCGUAGAGAUCGUAAGGAAGACCAGUGGCGAAGGCGGGUCUCUGGACAGUUCUGACACUGAGGCACGAAGGCCAGGGGAGCAAACGGG